CAGUAGCCGCGGUAAUACGUAGGGGGCAAGCGUUAUCCGGAAUUACUGGGUGUAAAGGGAGCGUAGACGGUUAAACAAGUCUGAAGUGAAAUGCCGGGGCUCAACCCCGGAGCUGCUUUGGGAACUGUAGAACUGGAGUGUCGGAGGGGUAAGCGGAAUUCCCAGUGUAGCGGUGAAAUGCGUAGAUAUUGGGAGGAACACCGGCGGCGAAGGCGGCUUACUGGACGACAACUGACGUUGAGGCUCGAAGGCGUGGGUAGCAAACAGGAUUAGAUACCCCGGUAGUCCCUGUCUCUUAUAU
rnacentral:rRNA from 1 species